rnacentral:rRNA from 1 species
AUUGACCGCUAGCGGGAUGCUUUAUACAUGCAAGUCGAACUGAGUGGCGGACGGGUGAGUAUUAAAUCGGCACGUGCCUAGUAGCGGGGGAUAACUACGCAGACGAUUGCAUAAUACCGCCUACUAUCGGAGCGGCCGAUGUCGGAUGAGCCAGUUGGUGGGGUAAAGGCUCACAAAGGCAACGAUCCGUAGCGGGUUUGAGAGUACGACCAGCCACACUGGGAAUGAGACACGGCCCAGACUCCUACGGGAGGCAGCAGUGGGGAAUUUUGGACAAUGGGGGAAACCCUGAUCCAGCCAUCCCGCGUGUAUGAUGAAGGCCUUCGGGUUGUAAAGUACUUUUGGCAGAGAAGCGGUAUCUGCAGAAUAAGCACAGGCUAACUACGUGCCAGCAGCCGCGGUAAUAC